AGAGACAGCAGUAGCCGCGGUAACACGAAGGGUGCAAGCGUUAAUCGGAAUUACUGGGCGUAAAGCGUGCGCAGGCGGUUCGCUAAGACAGAUGUGAAAUCCCCGGGCUUAACCUGGGAACUGCAUUUGUGACUGGCGGGCUAGAGUAUGGCAGAGGGGGGUAGAAUUCCACGUGUAGCAGUGAAAUGCGUAGAGAUGUGGAGGAAUACCGAUGGCGAAGGCAGCCCCCUGGGCCAAUACUGACGCUCAUGCACGAAAGCGUGGGGAGCAAACAGGAUUAGAUACCCCCGUAGUCCCUGUCUCUUAUAC
rnacentral:rRNA from 1 species